AAUAGAUACCCAGGUAGUCCACCCGUAAACGUUGGGAACUAGUUGUGGGGUCCUUUCCACGGAUUCCGUGACGCAGCUAACGCAUUAAGUUCCCCGCCUGGGGAGUACGGCCGCAAGGCUAAAACUCAAAGGAAUUGACGGGGACCCGCACAAGCGGCGGAGCAUGCGGAUUAAUUCGAUGCAACGCGAAGAACCUUACCAAGGCUUGACAUACACCAGAACACCCUAGAAAUAGGGGACUCUUUGGACACUGGUGAACAGGUGGUGCAUGGUUGUCGUCAGCUCGUGUCGUGAGAUGUUGGGUUAAGUCCCGCAACGAGCGCAACCCUCGUUCUAUGUCGCCAGCACGUAAUGGUGGGAACUCAUGGGAUACUGCCGGGGUCAACUCGGAGGAAGGUGGGGAUGACGUCAAAUCAUCAUGCCCCUUAUGUCUUGGGCUUCACGCAUGCUACAAUGGCCGGUACAAAGGGCUGCAAUACCGUGAGGUGGAGCGAAUCCCAAAAAGCCGGUCCCAGUUCGGAGUUGAGGUCUGCAACUCGACCUC
rnacentral:rRNA from 1 species